AAUUAAUCACAGGAGGAACUCUGCAGCUUCACUGUACAGAAGAACUAUUUGCUCAAGUAAAUAAGUUACAGAGGUUUUACUGGGCUCCAUGUACAAGUACACACACACAUCUAUUUUUCAAAUAAAUAUUGGAGCUAUACAUUGUGACAGGCAAUCUUGGACACAAGGAGUGAAGGAAAUGCAGCGACACUUUGCUGUGUGCAUCUUAGUCCUUCUGCCUUUGGGUCUUACUGCUACUACUCAUUCUACGACUAAUAAAACAUUGGGGAGAUUUUCCAACGACUUUCUCGUUGUUUGAUGACCUCUAGGUCAAAGCUGGAAAAUAACUUUCCACUAGCUGUAGUCUAUUCUAUUUCAAUUCAGCUUCCUCUAAAAUAACAAUGUUACUAUUUAAAAUGUGAGAAUAGUAGAAUGUCAUGAAAGGAUGAUGGAUUGACUCCAUAUGUGAACAACGGGUUCUUUCUUCAGUUUGCGACACAGUAUGAUUGCACGGGCCGAAAUGAAUUUCAUGCCUCCCAUUUAUUGCGUCUCUCUGUAUGAAUGUGCCGGGAUGCCUUAAACAAUAAAUACAGUAGUUUCUCACAAACUGGCUUCAUAUUAGGGCUAAAGGGGGGAAAAAUAACCGUGGAGAGUAAAGUAAUUACCUUUCAGGGAUGAGUAUGAGAAGUCUGAAAGUAUUUGUAGUUGUAACUCCUGGUGUGUGUGUGUGUGUGUGUGCGAUGCAUUGGGCAUUUUAUUCUUUGCAGAAAUAAUGUCUGCUACACAGAUCUUAACCAGAUUGGGGACUGAAGGGAUGAACUGCUUCAGCAUCUCUCCCUCCCACCUCUAAAUACAUAUAAAGGAAAGGUUCUUUGGAAAAAAAGGAUAAUAGGUUCUCUUUUGCGUUUGUCAUUUGUCACAAAGCUUAGUUAAUGCUUUUUAAUUGCCCACUAUUUGCUGACAUUGUGCUUUAGUUUACUGUGUGGUACAGUGAGAGGGUGAUGCCUCUUUCAUCGGGACGAGCACGUGGAGGAGACGGGCGAUAAUUCUUCGGUCUGUUGAUUACAGUAAUCGAUGUUACGUUUAAGACAAAGUGGUUACCGGCUGGUGAGUGAUUUGAUUCUCAAAGAUUGGCAGGUGGAGCUGUGCGUGCCGCACGUAGACGGAGAAGGGUUGUGUAUCACAACAUCAUCAAGUGGUUCUACUCCACUAAACCGCGUCAUUCAAAAAAACAGGAAGAUGAAUACAUAUAAUAUAUGUUACAACUUUAAAAUUUAAACUUUCCUCUGUGCGACGCGGAUGUUGAGGCUUUGCAUUCACUUGAGAAAUUAAUUUGCACCUGAUUUUCUGCCUCAGCGCUAUUAUGAAGUCCAUGUUAAGAAUACCGACAACUAUCUUCUCUUGCUUCAAAUCAACAGCAUGAAUAUCUUAGAAUUCAGAGAAAAAAAUGUAAUUUGAAAACAAUGGGGGGUAUGUUGCAGAAUUCAAAUCAAAACAUGAGAGAUUAUAGUCACGCUAAUUUGGAAGGCGGGGCAAAUAUCUUUUCUUUAAUUUAAUUGCUAUUGAGACCAACAGACAUGACAAGACAAGAGAACAAAACUCUACCUUCACUUACUUCUUUCCAGAAGUUCUACCUUUCGUCUGGAGACUGAAUAAAACCAGGAGAUGUAAGGCAGAGUUUGUGCGAUAGCUAACUGGAGCAAAGCCGGGCGAAGCCGGCCCGGUACCUGUAAUCCCUCCGAGCUAAUAAAGGUUAAUCUGCUGAAGAUAUGAAGAUUUCAAGAUAGUUUGUUUUAGUUCUGUUUGUACAAACAGCCCUUUAAUCAAAAUGUCGAAGAAUGGACCGUGUCACUGAGUCUUAGAGCAGCUUUUCAAAAAGUAGGAAAAAGUCACGUGUAACGAAAUAUACUUUUUAAAAUAUGUUUUACUUACUGUGAACAUAAUCGGAAGCUAAUUUGGAAAUAGUAGUCAUCACAGCAGAUAUCACAAGCAGACAUCUCUCAUUUUAAAGCUCCAUGAUAAGAACCAAUAAAAAGUUGGCUGAGCAGAAAUUCAAAUUCCAACAAUAUGAUAGUGUCGGUACAAUGAGCCACGCCAUUACAGUCUGCUGAAGGGUUGCGUUUUUUAACUCACUUGCUGGUCCUCCAUUGUCUGCAGCAAGAAUUUAAAUAAGGUGUUUUGCUUGCUGGAGGAGAGCAACACGUUAGAACAUUGAUAAUGGAUACGAGGCACAUGUUCUUUUUAUUGUUAAUACAUAUGAUCCCUCUGUAAAAAUGGUGUUUUAAAUAGUAUCGACUAAAAAAUGCAUUUAAAUGAAAUCAUUUUGAGAGCAGAGGGGAGGGCCGUCUGGAAUACUAGUUGAAACCUUUUUAGGUUCAUAACAAGCACAUAUUCUGUUCCCUUGGAAGAACCCAUCCUGCAUCGAGUGUGUAGCCAGGUAGCUAUUUGGAGUCCGUCGCUUGUAACUUUGACAUUUAAUGUCAGAAAAGUGAAACGUGCCAGUCGAGAGGAGCACGAAGGCGUGCAGUGCGCGAGCUCCCUGCAUGUCGUUUCACCCCGACUCUUCACCGUCCACCGCGCCCUCGCUCUCUCUCUCUCUCUCUCUAACAAGCCGUCCCAGAUGUGCUGACAUGCAGUUCACCUUCGGCGCCGGAGGAGCAGGGAAGGGAAAAGACCUUUGAAGUGAAACGGAUCCCCAUCAGUAAGCUGCAAGUCGCAGCUUAAAGCUCUAAGAUGGAAAGAGACAGCAGUUCGGCACACGAUUGAAGGGACGGGAAGAUGGACUUCAGCCGCACAGAGAGGACAAAUCAAAAGACACACUGUGCAGAGUGACACCGCCCUCGCCCGCGUUACUUACAUCCAACUGACACGUCGACUCACAGACUGCAAACGAGCAGGAGAUGAGGUUUCGACCCAAUGAGUCACAUCUCGUCUGGCUCCGUGUUAUACAUAAAGAUGACGGGCAGUGUGUGUGUGUGUGUGUGUGUGUUCUGAACCGGCAUGUGCUCAUCAGUGUCAGGGCUUCGUCCCGCCGAAUGUUUACGUAUUUCAAUACGUUAAAAUCUUGUUUUGCACGAAUAGAUUUAGCAUUGAUAUUAUUGUAGAAAGAAACAUUUACAUUUUUAUUUAAGUGUCAGACGUGCAAUUAUGGUUAAAAGAAAGGUUAUUAUGUAGAGUAAAAAUGGAAAAAAUGUGUGCAGAAACCAAUCAGUACAAAGAAAAUGCAAGCGCACAACAAUGCUUUUUCCACUGAGUAGGUGACAAAACAAGUGGAGAGAGUGCAGCAAAAGAAGAAUCACAGAUCGACUUCGACAUCCCUCGAACCACGCUGCUGGCCUGAUUUAGAAACAAGCUUCCUUCGCAGGUGUCCGUGCUCCUGCUUCAGGUAAAGAAGUGCUCCAUGCAGCCUGGAGGCAGAGCCACAACACGCUCCAGGGGUCACGCUUCUCAAAUGCCUUUGGAGGAGGAGGUGACCGGAGGAAAGACGUAAGGAUGUACGGGUUGCCUAGCUUGACCCCGAUGAACAGCGAGAGAUCGUGCGGCUGGGUGGUGAGAGCUACAAUAAGACACUAUUGUUAAUGUACUGCAGGCAUUCGCCUUAUUGGAGCGAGGACCAACUGAAAGGCAUCAUUUACUUCCACCAGAUGAGGUUUUUUUUUUUCAAUCUAUGUAAAAUGUUAUGUAAAAUUGUAAUUCUACCCACUCUUCAGAAAGCGAGAUAUUUAUCUCGUCUUUUCCACAACACUGAACAAUAGCUGCGUUGCUGAAUUAUGUAUUUUUUCAACACGAGCGGAGGCAUUUCAAUGUCGUUGUUUUUUUGGACCGUGCCGAUCCAGCUGCUUGCCAUUAAAACGUAUGAGAAGGCAGAAGAAAGCUCAGAAGACGAGGAGUGAAUGGAUGGUGAGGCAGGAAGUAGAAAGGUACAGAAAAAGAGGGAGUGGGAGGAUGAGAGGGGAAGUGGAUGGAUGUUAUUGAACAAUCCCAAUAUAUCUGUCUCUCUGCAAUAUAACACCAUUUUCCGAAUAAAAUCUUUCUUCU
ensembl:lncRNA